rnacentral:hammerhead_ribozyme from 1 species
GUCCAGCUGACGAGUCCCAAAUAGGACGAAACAUGCAUACUGGAU